rnacentral:lncRNA from 1 species
UAGGAAACAGAAUGAAUGAAGAGCUAGCAGACAAGCUUUAGUCUUGUCCCAUAUUUUAAGGCCUUUUUGGCUGCGUAUCUUGUGGAGAUUUCUUCCAAAGUACCUGUGCAUUCAGGAACGGAAAUAGGAGAAGACAGCAAAUCAAGGCAGAAGAGAGGAUCUGUGGUGGAUAGCAGAAAACUUGAGAAGUGAGUCUCACUACUCAUAUAUUAUCAAAACAAAGGAUCCAGGGUGGAAAUUCAAGCCAUCUGUGACCAACUCCAGCAGCAGGACUUUUAUGAACACAGUAUAAAACAUUAGUUUUGUUCAGGCAGGAAAUAAAAUCAUCAGGAAAAAAUUAAUUCUUUUCAAUGAGUUUUCAUUAAAAAGCCAUUCUAAGAAAUUGAUAACUUUCUCAUUCUUGCAGUUAAUCCAUUUUAUUGGUGUUUUGGGUGCC